GAUGAACGCUGGCGGUAUGCUUAACACAUGCAAGUCGAACGGACUCUUCGGAGUUAGUGGCGGACGGGUGAGGACGGCGUGGGAAGUUGCCUUUGGGUUCGGGACACCCGCUGGAAGGGUUGCUUAAGGCCGGUUGGGCCAAUAGGUAAAAGGGAAUUUGCCUGAAGAUGCGCUCGCGUCUGGUUAGCGAGUUGGGGAGGUAAAGGCCCACUAAGCAAGCGAUCAGUGGCUGGUUUGAGAGGAUGACCAGCCACACGGGGACUGAGACACGGCCCAGACGCCUACGGGAGGCAGCAGUGGGGAAUUGUCCGAAAUGGGCGAAAGUCUGACGGAGCAAUACCGCGUGAGGGAAGAAGGCUCUUGGGUUGUAAACCUCUUUUCUUAGGGAAGAACAAAAUGACGGUACCUAAGGAAUCAGCAUCGGCUAACUACGUG
rnacentral:rRNA from 1 species